rnacentral:rRNA from 2 species
CCUCAAAUCAGGUGGGACUACCCGCUGAACUUAAGCAUAUCAAUAAGCGGAGGAAAAGAAACUAACAAGGAUUCCCCUAGUAACGGCGAGUGAAGCGGGAUGAGCUCAAAUUUAAAAUCUGGCAGCCUAAGGUUGUCCGAGUUGUAGUCUAGAGAAGCGUUUUCCGCGUAGGCCUGUGUACAAGUCCCUUGGAAUAGGGCGUCAUAGAGGGUGAGAAUCCCGUCCUUGACACAGAUCAUCUAUGCUUUGCGAUGCGCUCUCGAAGAGUCGAGUUGUUUGGGAAUGCAGCUCAAAAUGGGUGGUAAAUUCCAUCUAAAGCUAAAUAUUGGCGAGAGACCGAUAGCGAACAAGUACCGUGAGGGAAAGAUGAAAAGCACUUUGGAAAGAGAGUUAAACAGUACGUGAAAUUGUUGAAAGGGAAACGAUUGAAGUCAGUCAUGUGGUUCGAGAUUCAGCCGGUUCUGCCGGUGUAUUUCUCGAGCUACAGGCCAGCAUCAGUUUCGACCGAUGGAAAAAGUUGAGAGGAAUGUGGCAUCUUCGGAUGUGUUAUAGCCUUUUUUCACAUGCAUCGGACGGGACUGAGGAACGCAGCGUGCCUUUAUGGUCGGUCUUCGGACACGAACGCGC